rnacentral:rRNA from 1 species
GACGAACGCUGGCGGCGUGCUUAACACAUGCAAGUCGAACGGAAAGGCCCUGCUUUUGUGGGGUGCUCGAGUGGCGAACGGGUGAGUAACACGUGAGUAACCUGCCCUUGACUUUGGGAUAACUUCAGGAAACUGGGGCUAAUACCGGAUAGGAGCUCCUGCUGCAUGGUGGGGGUUGGAAAGUUUCGGCGGUUGGGGCUGGACUCGCGGCUUAUCAGCUUGUUGGUGGGGUAGUGGCUUACCAAGGCUUUGACGGGUAGCCGGCCUGAGAGGGUGACCGGCCACAUUGGGACUGAGAUACGGCCCAGACUCCUACGGGAGGCAGCAGUGGGGAAUAUUGCACAAUGGGCGGAAGCCUGAUGCAGCAACGCCGCGGGCGGGAUGACGGCCUGCGGGUUGUAAACCGCUUUCGGCGGUGACGAAGCGGGAGUGACGGUAACGGGUAAAGAAGCACCGGCUAACUACGUG